UACGGGGGGGGCAAGCGUUGUUCGGAAUUACUGGGCGUAAAGGGCCAGUAGGCGGCCAACUAAGUCGGAUGUGAAAGCCCCGGGCUUAACCUGGGAGGUGCGCUUGGGACUGGGUGGCUAGAGAUCGGGAGAGGAGAGUGGAAUUCCCAGUGUAGAGGUGAAAUUCGUAGAUAUCAAGAGGAACACCUGAGGUGAAGACGGGUUGCUGGGCUGACACUGACGCUGAGGCGCGAAAGCCAGGGGAGCAAACGGG
rnacentral:rRNA from 1 species